CUGUCUCUCAGAUAUACUCGUGACUACAUUAACCUGUCAAUACUGGAGCAGCUGUGCCAAUUGCAGGAUCGGGGCUGUUCCUGAGUGGAGACAAGGCCUUGGGCUGCUGGCUCCUCAAGGCAGAGAAAGGGCCGUGCAUUGAGAUCACAGCCAUUAGGGAUGCAAAAGGCCUAUAAGGUCCCAUCUGGUCCAUCCCUCACAGCCUGAGAAGUGAAGUCCUGAAACGGCCUUCCAAGGGGACCAGUGGGGGCAAAGAACCUAACUGGCUUCAAGACUGAGCUGUAUUGUGCAGCUUUCCAUCUCCCCUCUUUAACUGCUGCUGCCCUUCCAUGGAGCUGCUACUGAUACCUAGAGCCUCUUCCAAAGAGAUUACAAUUACUGUAAUUCAUCACUUCAGAACCAAAGCUAUUCGCCAGAUGGCACCAUUCAGCUACCCACCAGCACUGCUCAGUUAUCAGACAACCAGCUCUGCUAUUUGUUGCCUGAUGGAAUCUGUGUUUAUUUGGCAAAUAAUACAGGAGGGAUGUCCAAGUGUCCUCUCCCUGGGAAGAUCUUCACUCAUUUGAUGGUGAGGCAUUUAAAGGUUGGAUGGCAGAUCUUGCACUCUGCGAUUACAAUAGAAUUAGACAUGAGGUAAAUGUACAGUGUUAUUGAGGCUAUGUUUGCAUCAGGCUGGGUUAAUACUGGAAGGGAGGCUUUUGAUGAACACAUGCAGGAAAUGGUGGAGUGAUUCAAUUAAGGCAGUUUUCCCUCUGAGUCAGUACCAAACUGCCUAAGCAUUGUGCUAGGAAGUGCUGUGGUCAUGGCUGGUCCUGAUUACU